rnacentral:lncRNA from 1 species
GGCAGUGGUCAAGUAUUGAAUCUUCUAGAUAUCCCUUUUGCAUCUCCAAUAAGGAAUGGCAUUUCAAUUAUCAUUUAGGUUCAGAGACGCACACAAGGAUUACAAAGAGUCUAACAGGACUUAUUUUUUGGAAUAGCAGCUCAUUUGUUCGAUACACAAAGUACUUUCUUCUUGUAUAUUUUCCAUAAAAAAUGGUACUACUAAUUAAUAUAGUUGCUCAGCUGCCUGCUAGAAGAUUUUUCCCCCCCUUUUUCCUUAGGUGGACAUCAUGAGAAAAUGAUAUAGAAAGGAGAUUCCAACAUUUAACAAGAAGUUUCAUAGGUUUUAUGGUUUGAUCUGAAGUUAAUGAUAGGGAGCAUGCAAGCUUGAAGUUAAAGAUGUAAUUAUGGUCUCUUUUAAACAAAUGAUGGGUAGGUGCAGGCGUAGCAGAGUUUGGUGUGCAAUGUAGAGCUCUCUGCUAUUAAACAUAAAUGCUAAAGUUGCUUAGUGCUAACAAUAAAGUUAUUUUACAUAGUUUUCAUUUCAAGUUUCUCUUUAUAUUUUUUUUGAUACAAGUUUAUUAUCUUUUAGAUUUUGUGUAUCGGUGGUAUCUGUGUCAGUUUGUAUGUAGCUCGGCUAAUUAACAAGUGUAUUGCACUAAGUAAUUCUAUCCACCUAGAAUUUGAUGGACAAAAAGAAACCAGUGCUUUUUUUAAUCUUGUCAUUUGAACCUUCUGAUGUUUGCAUUGCCUUAAACUGUCCAACUCCUUCCAAGUCGUGAUCACUAAUUUCACACUCUUGGUUUAGUGGGAUUAUGAGUAUGUGUAAUCUAUUCUCCUCAAUUUUAGUGUGCCCAUGCUUAAUGAUUUCUCUAAAAUAUUUUUACAAGUAUGUAUGCACGGGCAUAAAUAUCUAGUUUAUAUAAAAGCGACCACAAGUGGUCGCUUUUCUAUUAAAAAAAUAGAAAAUUUUUUUUUUUAAAAGGCCACUUGUGGUCGCUUUUUAUUAAAAAAUAAUAAAAUAAAAUACCAUGCAAAACAACCAUUUGAGGUUUUUCCUACGAAGGUUUUUCCUUUGGAUUCUAAUUGACAAGAAAAAUUGCAAGUAAUCAAAUUACUUGGGGAUUUUAUCGUAUUAUUCCUAUGAAAAUUCUCAGGUAAUUAACACUUAUUUUGUAGUGAAAGAUAAAAAUUUAUUCUAAAAUGUGACUCCAUUUUUGUACUUUUCAAACCUUUAAAACAAACU